rnacentral:rRNA from 1 species
UACAGAGGGGGCAAGCGUUAUUCGGAAUUAUUGGGCGUAAAGGGCGCGUAGGCGGCCUGGCAAGUGGAAGGUGAAAUCCCUCGGCUUAACCGAGGAACUGCCUCCCAAACUGCUUGGCUUGAGACCGGGAGAGGUGAGUGGAAUUCCCAGUGUAGCGGUGAAAUGCGUAGAUAUUGGGAGGAACACCAGUGGCGAAGGCGGCUCACUGGACUGGUACUGACGCUGAGGCGCGAAAGCGUGGGGAGCAAACGGG